GAACGCCGGAUGCGGUGAAAGUCGCAUGUCCGGUGUGGACCGGGGGAAAAGACAGAGAUAACCUCAAAGUUUUACCUAUCGGUAU
rnacentral:ncRNA from 2 species